UUUAAAUGUUACAUUUAUAUUUUUGUUCAGUAUAAAUUAGAUAAUUUCAUUCUUUAUUUUUUUUUACUAGAGACAGUAACUAUAGCCUACUGGUAACAGUUUGGCUAGUUUCCGUUCACAACAAUUUCUUUGUUUUAUGUAAACCACCUUAGCUUCCCUAAUUUUUACAAUCCAGGGGUGAAUCAAUGGGCACAGAAUGGAUUAUCUCUGCAAUGUCCUCCUUAUUACUUGGUCCUUGUACAAAGGUCUCUAGCUUUUCCAUGAGACCUCCUCAAUAUUUUUCCGACCACAGCAGCAUUGGGGAAUUAUCAUGGUUAAACUAUGUGUCUUUGGGCCUUGUUUCUAACAUUUCUUCCACUAAAUUAUUAACAGCUAAUGCUACAGAUUCAGUGUAGUUUGGCACAAGUAGCAGUAUAGAAGUUAGCUAGUCUCACCACUUAACCCCCUGCUGUGCCACUUCUAUUUCACACUUUUCCUUCUGUAAUGAGUGCUUUGAUGCAAAAUUGCUUGUUUCCCUCCCCUCAUUAGGCCUAUGGAAAACUAAUAACAGGAAAAGUGACACUUAAUCUCCCUUGCUCUCACGCUAAUUGUCUCCUUCCUGUAAAUUGUCUCUCAACAAGAACCCUUUGAGGCUACCGAAAAUGGGUACAAACGAGAUUAUCCAGACUGCAUAAAGUAUCCAAACAGACACAUAUGCAAACAGAGGUGGCAUUUAGAUAGCCAUAAGUAAUUUGAAGUUUGUAUUGCCUCAAACCCGAUUCCAUGAGUAGACUUACGACUUCACUAAACAAACAAUUUGACAGUAUCUACUGCAUUUCAUUAUGUAUCGGAUAGGAGCAGACUUUUAACUACCGUGGCGAACAAACAUUUUUUUUAAAGCCUGGCGAAAGACUUUGCAGUGAUUCAGUAGGCUGCGAGAAACCACCUAUGGAGACACGCGUGCGCUUUGGUUUCUGGAAAUCCCGGGAUUCGCUGCUCGAGCGUCAAAGAUCAGCAUGGAUUUGAAAUGAAAGCUAUUGAAUGAGCCGUAUGUGAAAGUGAUCUAUAAAGUUUUGCUUUUUUAUUUGUUGUUGCCGAAUUACUACCACACGUUUGAUUAAUAUCACUAAAGGAUACCAGACUGAAGACGGAAAUUCGAGGGAACGUUUCUUUCUGGUAGACUACCAAUCGAGGGACCAUGAACUCCUCGGCAGGUGCAGGGAACUACCGAAGGGGCUCCACCAAGGGAGAGAAGGCCCCUACUCCACCACUACCACGGGUCGUUGUCCUGAUGGAAGGUGAACCUUCAACCCCGCCUGAAGUCCUGCGCGCUCUAGUCUCCCAGUCCCUACCACUGAAAAACAUCCCCACAACAUGAUGCUGCCACCACCAUGCUUCACCGUAGGGAUGGUUUCCUCCAGACGUGACGCUUGACAUUCAGGCA